rnacentral:rRNA from 1 species
CCUACGGGAGGCAGCAGUAGGGAAUAUUGCACAAUGGGCGAAAGCCUGAUGCAGCAACGCCGCGUGCGCGAUGAAGGCCUUCGGGUUGUAAAGCGCUUUUCUGGGGGAAGAGGAAGGACGGUACCCCAGGAAUAAGUCUCGGCUAACUACGUGCCAGCAGCCGCGGUAAAACGUAGGAGGCGAGCGUUAUCCGGAUUUACUGGGCGUAAAGCGCGUGUAGGCGGUUAGGUAAGUCGGACGUGAAAGCUCCCGGCUCAACUGGGAGAGGCCGUUCGAAACUACCUGACUUGAGGGCAGUAGAGGGAGGUGGAAUUCCGGGUGUAGCGGUGAAAUGCGUAGAUAUCCGGAGGAACACCAGUGGCGAAGGCGGCCUCCUGGGCUGACCCUGACGCUCAGACGCGAAAGCUAGGGUAGCAAACGGGAUUAGAUACCCCAGUAGUCC